UGAGGCGUGGCUUCCGGAGCUAACGCGUUAAGUCGACCGCUGGGGAGUACGGCCGCAAGGUUAAAACUCAAAUGAAUUGACGGGGGCCCGCACAAGCGGUGGAGCAUGUGGUUUAAUUCGAUGCAACGCGAAGAACCUUACCUACUCUUGACAUCCACAGAACUUGGCAGAGAUGCCUUGGUGCCUUCGGGAACUGUGAGACAGGUGCUGCAUGGCUGUCGUCAGCUCGUGUUGUGAAAUGUUGGGUUAAGUCCCGCAACGAGCGCAACCCUUAUCCUUUGUUGCCAGCACGUAAUGGUGGGAACUCAAGGGAGACUGCCGGUGACAAACCGGAGGAAGGUGGGGAUGACGUCAAGUCAUCAUGGCCCUUACGAGUAGGGCUACACACGUGCUACAAUGGCAGAUACAAAGUGAAGCGAACUCGCGAGAGCAAGCGGACCACAUAAAGUCUGUCGUAGUCCGGAUUGGAGUCUGCAACUCGACUCCAUGAAGUCGGAAUCGCUAGUAAUCGUAGAUCAGAAUGCUACGGUGAAUACGUUCCCGGGCCUUGUACACACCGCCCGUCACACCAUGGGAGUGGGUUGUCAAAAGAAGUAGGUAGCUUAACCUUCGGGAGGGCGCU
rnacentral:rRNA from 1 species